UUCCGGUUGAUCCCGCCGGAGGUCACUGCUAUUGGGAUUCGACUAAGCCAUGCGAGUCGCGAGGGUUCGGCCCUCGGCUGACGGCUCAGUAACACGCGGAUAAUCUGCCCUUAGGUGGAGGAUAACCUCGGGAAACUGAGAAUAAGACUCCAUAGAUCUAGGAGGCUGGAAUGCACUUAGAUCAAAAACUUCGGUGCCUAAGGAUGAGUCUGCGGACUAUCAGGUAGUAGUCAGGGUAAUGACCUGACCAGCCUAUGACGGAUACGGGUUGUGAGAGCAAUAACCCGGAGAUGAUAUCUGAGACACGAUAUCAGGCCCUACGGGGCGCAGCAGGCGCGAAAACUUCACACUGUGCGAAAGCACGAUGAGGGAAUCCCAAGUGCUGGCUCGUAAGAGUCAGCUGUUUUUCUGUCUAGAAAACAGAGAGAGUAAGAGCUGGGUAAGACGGGUGCCAGCCGCCGCGGUAAUACCUGCAGCUCAAGUGGUGGCCGCUAUUAUUGGGCCUAAAACGUUCGUAGCCGGUCUAGUAAAUGCCUGGGUAAAUCAUACGGCUUAACCGUACGAAUUCCGGGUAGACUGCUGGACUUGGGACUGGGAGAGGCUAGAGGUACUCCUGGGGUAGAGGUGAAAUUCUGUAAUCCUAGGGGGACGACCAGUGGCGAAGGCGUCUAGCUAGAACAGGUCUGACGGUGAGGAACGAAGCCCUGGGGCGCAAACGGGAUUAGAUACCCCGGUAGUCCAGGGUGUAAACGCUGCUUGCUUGAUGUUAGUCGGGCUCCGAGCCCGAUUAGUGUCGGAGAGAAGUUGUUAAGCAAGCUGCCUGGGGAGUACGGCCGCAAGACUGAAACUUAAAGGAAUUGGCGGGGGAGCACCGCAACGGGUGGAGCGUGCGGUUUAAUUGGAUUCAACGCCGGAAA
rnacentral:rRNA from 1 species